rnacentral:rRNA from 1 species
UACGUAGGGUCCGAGCGUUGUCCGGAAUUACUGGGCGUAAAGAGCUCGUAGGUGGUUUGUCGCGUUGUUCGUGAAAACUCACAGCUUAACUGGGGGCGUGCGGGCGAUACGGGCAGACUGGAGUACUGCAGGGGAGACUGGAAUUCCUGGUGUAGCGGUGGAAUGCGCAGAUAUCGGGAAGAACACCCGUGGCGAAGGCGGCUCUCUGGGACGGUACUGACGCUGAGACGCGAAAGCGUGGGGAGCGAACAGG